GAAAAUUGCUCUACCAUGUCCAGUGGGAGGUUCAAAAAUGGAGACAUUGGAAUGUCUUCAUUCUCCUGACGUCUUGUCAUUUCAGCACGGUUUGCUGGUUUGGUGGGACCAAUUGGCAGUGUUACUGGGAAGACAUUGAUGGGUGACAGGUGAAUGGCACAGCGGAUGGGCCAUGACGUCUUAUCAUGUGUCACUGGUGCAUAGAAUGAGGUUGUUCACCUCUGGGUGUUCAUCUGUUUCCUUAUUUGGCUGGUUUGGAAGGAUUACAGAAAAGACACAGAUGGUUGAAUGGUCAAUGACACAAAACAGGCAGAAGAAAUACAACACAAGUACAAGGGUUAAGUUAAACAUGAACUUUUCGUAGUGUCCAUGGAAAUGUGCAAAACCAAUCUGACUGGCUUCUAGUUAAUCCUGCCUGACUGUGUAGUGUCAUUUUAACAUAAAGCUUCCAGAGCCCUCCAAGUGUCAGUCUCCAGCGUUGCAGGCUCAUGGACAUGUGCUACAAAAAUUCUUGGCGAAACUCUCUGCAAAAAAAAUAAACCUAUAUAUAAUUUACUCAUUACUACAUGUGACAAUAGUGUUUAUAGCACCUUAAAUUGUAAUUUACUUUCCCUAAUGUUGCUCCAGUCAUGUAUGACUUUUUGUUUCAUGGAACAACACCUAGUUGUGAGCUGUCGACAAAGCCCUUAAGACCACAGUAGAAGUUGUAACAAUUUAAAACAUUAACCCCCCCCCCCCCC